UCCUAGAGAGUAAUGUUAUAUAGUAAAAAUGAAGCUAAGACAUUAGAAUCAGGGUGCCUCUUCCUGUACAGGAGACAAGAGAAGGUGUGGGGGGCAGUAAUGCUGGGAAUCAAACAAUCACUACCUUUCUUGAUUCCCACAGGCUCUGUCUCCUGUGGAUAUCAGGAGUUAUCUGCCCUGUCUUGGUCAGUGUACAAGCGAGCUCGGUUAUACACAGCAUCUCCUGAGUCCUAGAGUAUAGCCAGACCCUGACUGGAUAGAAUCAAAUGUUCCUGCUACUGAUGGGGUUGAUGUCUUGGUAUGAAGAAAUUUGUGGAAGCGAGAAGAAACACAUUCGUUGAAAUAAUUUCCUAAUAUAUGGUAAGUAUUUUAUUAAUAGGGUGGAGAUCUCUCUCGACAUUGGUCCUAUAUCCAUUCAUUAUUUUCUUGUAACUAUUUCUGUUAGAGGAAUACAGGACCUCAAAAGCGAGGGUGAGGUCUUCCAUUAGGGAUCAUUAAAAUCUGUCAGGACAUUUUGAGCAAGAUAUCGGCCCUCCCCUAUGCUAACAGAGUAUCCCUGUACAGUAAAUGGGUCCCUGAAUCUGUUCUUGCAAUAGGAACACACACUGGUUCCACUGCGAUUGGCCACAUAGACUACCCAGUGUUCCCAACUGACACCCAUGUUCAUGGGGUCUAUUUUGGUUCUAUGUUGGCUCCCCAGCUUUCACACUGGAUCCCAUGGAUUGCCAGG